AGUGAACGCUGGCGGUAGGCCUAACACAUGCAAGUCGAACGGCAGCACAGGAGAGCUUGCUCUCUGGGUGGCGAGUGGCGGACGGGUGAGGAAUACAUCGGAAUCUACUUUUUCGUGGGGGAUAACGUAGGGAAACUUACGCUAAUACCGCAUACGACCUACGGGUGAAAGCAGGGGACCUUCGGGCCUUGCGCGAUUGAAUGAGCCGAUGUCGGAUUAGCUAGUUGGCGGGGUAAAGGCCCACAAAGGCGACGAUCCGUAGCUGGUCUGAGAGGAUGAUCAGCCACAAUGGAACUGAGACACGGUCCCGACUCCUACGGGAGGCAGCAGUGGAGAAUAUUGGACAAUGGGCGCAAGCCUGAUCCAGCCAUACCGCGUGGGUGAAGAAGGCCUUCUGGUUGUAAAGCCCUUUUGUUGGGAAAGAAAUCCAGCUGGCUAAUACCCGGUUGGGAUGACGGUACCCAAAGAAUAAGCACCGGCUAACUUCGUGCCAGCCGCCGCGGUAA
rnacentral:rRNA from 1 species